CCUGUACUACCGAUAACCGUUUGAGAGAUGGGAUGACACAGUAGGAUAAGCUAAGCACACUGUUGGUUAUGUGUGCCCAAGCAUUGAGGCAGUCAAAGUAGGUAAAUCCGCUUUGAUAAUGCUGGGAGGUGAUGGGGAGCGAAAUUUAGUAGCGAAGUAGCUGAUUUCACACUGUCAAGAAAAGUCUCUAUCGAGGUUAAAGGUACCCGUACCGCAAACCGACACAGGUG
rnacentral:rRNA from 1 species